UACGGAGGGUGCAAGCGUUAUCCGGAUUCACUGGGUUUAAAGGGCGCGUAGGAGGGCAGGUAAGUCAGUGGUGAAAUCUUCGAGCUUAACUCGGAAACUGCCGUUGAUACUAUCUGUCUUGAAUACCGUGGAGAUGAGCGGAAUAUGUCAUGUAGCGGUGAAAUGCUUAGAUAUGACAUAGAACACCAAUUGCGAAGGCAGCUCGUUACACGAAUAUUGACGCUGAGGCUCGAAAGCGUGGGGAUCAAACAGG
rnacentral:rRNA from 1 species